rnacentral:rRNA from 1 species
UUUAGUGUCUUGGGCGUAGAGGAACCACACCAAUCCAUCCAGAACUUGGUGGUUAAACUCUAUUGCGGUGACGAUAUUGUAGGGGAGGUCCUGCGAAAAAAAUAGCUCGACGCCAGGA